rnacentral:tmRNA from 1 species
GGGGGCGUACCGGUUUCGACGGGGAUGCUGAGGCGCGAUAAGCGGGUCGUGGUGCCCACCACGUUAAAAGGGCAACCUUUAUAAAUUAAGCAACGAUAAUAAUCUAGCUUACGCAGCCUAGUUAAAGGCAGCCGUCCGCCCCGGAAGGACCACGGUCCGGGCUCGGGCGUAACUUAGUGGUGAACGUGUCCGUGCUAAGCUUUGCCCACGGUCAUGUAAUUAUGAAGCUACCGAAUCCUUGAGCCGUCCGACGGGCGCUUGGAUGAGGGAAAUCAAAACGUCGGAUGCACCCGGAGAAAGUCGCGAGGACGUGUUUUCGGACGCGGGUUCGACUCCCGCCGCCUCCACCA